CUUGGCGGGACGCGUGCGGGCAGCCGGUGGCGGCUGCUGAGCGGAGCUCUGGCGUGCUCCCGGUGGCGUUCGCCUGCAUCUGGCUCUUUGUUGGUCCUCCGCCUCUAAGGAUUUCUUUUUCUUCCCUCCUGGGUCGGAUCCGCGGGCUUCCCCUCCUCCUUCUUUAGGGCCCUUCUGGUUCCACGGACCCUACAUCCACGCCGUAAUGGAACGGGCAGAAUUUCGGGGGCCUGGCUUUCAUUGCAGGAGCUUAGGACGAGAGUGUGACUCAACAAAAGAGGAACUAAAGCAGGCAACCAUUCAUUCAUUCGAGUAAACAGGCCCCAAAUAAGCAACUUUUCAGCCAGCCAGCCAGGUGAAGGGCAGACCCAGGUCAAACAGGAACACAUAUGCUCCCUACCGAGGAAAAUAAACUGCAAUGUAUUUUUAGCAACCGUUGGAAGUCCUUUCAGCUGAAGAUAUUCUGCAGGAUCCAGACUAUUUCACUGAAGGCCAAAGGAUUGGCCACAAUGUCACCUGCAAUUCUAGAACUUGCCCUGGGGGUCUAUAGGUAGCAGUGCUCCUGAACCCCUCACCCCACCCCCCAUCAUUCUCAAUCCGAACCCUGUUGCAAACAUCCUCGUUCAGACAAAAAGAAGGAAAAUCAUUCCAGAAAAAGAUAAAUGAAAAACAUCUGUGAAAUAGUCCUGACAAAUGGCGCUAACUAUAGCACACUUGGCACUUGGAGAUGAAGCUUGUCCAGGAGGAGGGAAUAGGGAGCAUGUGGAGAAGAGAGGAUGUCCCCCACCCCUUUUGUGCCUAGUGCUGAAGGUUAAGCCAUGAACAGGGAGCCACUACAUGGUGCAGCUUUGUGAAAGGUGCCUAAGGGUGCCUUUGUGAAUGGCAGAACAAGGCACAGCUCCAGCAGACCUAGCAGCUCCCUGGCAUGGUGAGUGACAGAUGGUUUCAGCUUCUGGCCCUCCCUCCAAGGGUGGUGCGCACAGCCUUGGCAGUGGAGUUUCAGUUACUAGUCUGAAAUGCAGGAAGUUUCUUCAUGGGAUUUGGUGACCGUGAGACAAAUGGUUUGAGACUUGGCCUCUGUCUGCAUAGUUUUGAAAAAUAUUUUUCAUUUUUUAAAAGCAAAUUUACUGAACUGCUAGCUUUUCAAUAAAUGACAUGGGAAUAUUGCAUCCUCCUUGUGAAACAUUCUAUUUCUAAAAUAAAUACGGUCUACGGUGACAUCUACAAUGGCUCAGUAGAAGACGUAUCAUAAAGACAGCAUACCAUCAAAAAGGGGAAGUCCUCCCAAAGAACUACAGUUUUGACUUUUAUUAUUAUAAUAAAACCAUGUAUUUAUUAAAAAACAGGGAAGCCAAACUUACCAUUUAUGUUCUUCCUGAUAUUUUAUUACUCCUGUAGCAAAAAGGAGUUUCUGUUUCCUCUUCCGAAAAAAUGGAACAAUAAAACCUGAUUCCCUACCUACCCUACCUCAUCCUAUGAAAUGGUGAAAUGUCUUGGAAUAAUGCCAUGUAAAUACAAGGAACCAUGGUGUGUCAAAAUACAAGCAGUUGGUCGUGGCUUCAUUAUUCACCCAACAAAUAUUUCCAUGAGGCUUUC